GGUCAAACCCACUGCGCCACCACACCCCCGGUUUAAAGGAUAGGUUGAGCGGAACAACAUUCAACCCUCAGCUGCAUUUUUUGCCAUCCUUUAUUUUCCCCCUCUUACUGAAGUACAACAGAACUGUGAACCUGAACGAAAUUAGUGUUCAGCAUCAGUUAUUUUGAAAUAAAGCACAGUAAAAUUUAA